UGGGGGAUAUUGCACAAUGGGGGAAACCCUGAUGCAGCGACGCCGCGUGGAGGAAGAAGGUUUUCGGAUUGUAAACUCCUGUCGUUAGGGACGAUAAUGACGGUACCUAACAAGAAAGCACCGGCUAACUACGUGCCAGCAGCCGCGGUAAAACGUAGGUCACAAGCGUUGUCCGGAAUUACUGGGUGUAAAGGGAGCGCAGGCGGGCGAUCAAGUUGGAAGUGAAAUCCAUGGGCUCAACCCAUGAACUGCUUUCAAAACUGAUUGUCUUGAGUAGUGCAGAGGUAGGCGGAAUUCCCGGUGUAGCGGUGGAAUGCGUAGAUAUCGGGAGGAACACCAGUGGCGAAGGCGGCCUACUGGGCACCAACUGACGCUGAGGCUCGAAAGUGUGGGUAGCAAACAGGAUUAGAUACCCUGGUAGUCCACACCGUAAACGAUGAUUACUAGGUGUUGGAGGAUUGACCCCUUCAGUGCCGCAGUUAACACAAUAAGUAAUCCACCUGGGGAGUACGACCGCAAGGUUGAAACUCAAAGGAAUUGACGGGGGCCCGCACAAGCAGUGGAGUAUGUGGUUUAAUUCGACGCAACGCGAAGAACCUUACCAAGUCUUGACAUCCUGCGACGAUGCUAGAAAUAGUAUUUUCCUUCGGGACGCAGAGACAGGUGGUGCAUGGUUGUCGUCAGCUCGUGUCGUGAGAUGUUGGGUUAAGUCCCGCAACGAGCGCAACCCUUAUGGUCAGUUACUACGCAAGAGGACUCUGGCCAGACUGCCGUUGACAAAACGGAGGAAGGUGGGGAUGACGUCAAAUCAUCAUGCCCUUUAUGACUUGGGCUACACACGUACUACAAUGGCGUUAAACAAAGAGAAGCAAGACCGCGAGGUGGAGCAAAACUCAGAAACAACGUCCCAGUUCGGACUGCAGGCUGCAACUCGCCUGCACGAAGUCGGAAUUGCUAGUAAUCGCAGAUCAGCAUGCUGCGGUGAAUACGUUCCC
rnacentral:rRNA from 1 species